rnacentral:lncRNA from 1 species
UCUGAAAGUUUAACUCUUUUAUUUAUCAAUCGUUCUUUGUCAUCUUCUUGAUAAUUUAUUUUGAUUUUAUAAAAGUUACCUGGAAGGCCAAAGUAGUUUAAGAAACACAGGUCUUGCAACCCAGAAGUGAAAACCUUCAAGCUUUUAAUUUAGUUAUGUUCAUUUAAUAUUUACUAAGUACCAACCAUACAUAAGGUCUCAUGCAUGCAUUAAGUGACAAGAAAUGAGUAAGAAAAUUUGUUUUCAAGAAGCUGUAGUUAAAUAGGGAGAAUGAGUUAAGAAUACAAAUGUCUGUAAUUUGAAGUUCUAUGUACAUGUCAUAGGAGAAGAAGAAGAAAACUUUGUUCUGAGUUCAAUGAUUCACUGGGUGUGGUAGCUAAUGCCUAUAAUCCCAGCACUUUGGGAGGCUGAGGUAGGAGGAUUGCUUGAGCCCAGGAGUUCAAGACCAGCCUGGGC